GUGUGCCAGGAGCGCAGAAAUUCAGUCAUGCUUCUACCUUCAGGGAACUCACACAUAUACUAAAAUUGGAGCCAUAGGGAGGAGAUCAGCAUGGUGUCUGUGCAAGGGUGACAUUCAAAUUGGGGAACCCUACCAGCACAUU
rnacentral:snRNA from 1 species